ACUUUCAACAACGGAUCUCUUGGCUCUCGCAUCGAUGAAGAACGCAGCGAAAUGCGAUAAGUAAUGUGAAUUGCAGAAUUCAGUGAAUCAUCGAAUCUUUGAACGCACCUUGCGCCCCUUGGUAUUCCGAGGGGCAUGCCUGUUUGAGUGUCAUGU
rnacentral:rRNA from 1 species